UUAAGGAUAAUAUUGAUUAGUAAAAAAAUUUAAAACUGUGUAGUAUUUCUUGCAUCAUCAGUGAGGUGGUUCGUUUUUUGUACUAUCAAAAUGGUGACGUACUUUAUUAUUUCAAGUUGUUUAGCAAUAGUUGUAAAAGGAGUUAUAAGCAAAGAUUGCACUGACUGUAUGGAAUAUAAAUUGUGUCCAGCAGCCCUUAACUUGGUUCUGAAUAAAACUGUUAAAGCUGAGAAGACUUUUCGUGAAGCAGUUUGUGACGAUAGAUUAAAUAAUGGGACGAAGAGCAUUAAGGUUUGCUGCUCAAUGUUACAAGAACACGCGGCGGAUGUCCAGAAAUUUAACGUUUUACCAGAUCAGUGUGGUGAAAUCCGUGAAGAUCGUCUUUUUCGUGGGCCUGUAGUCAACUUGUUUGAUUACGAGUGAUUGGCUGUGUUUAAUAAAUCUAAUGGGCAUGGCCACUGUACCGGCAGCAUCAUUACACCAAGGUAUAUCCUCACAGCAGCCAGCUGUGUCAAGGACACAAAUAUAACCACUGUGCGGAUAGGCGAAUACGACCUAAGUACAGAUAUGGAUUGUGUUGAAGAUGGGGGAACUUAUUGCACAUCUGGACAUACGGAUAUGAUCGUGGAGAAAGUUAUACCACACGAAGGAUUUCGAUUUCAUCAGAUUGGGCACGACAUAGCGUUGAUUCGUCUUAAAGCAUCUAUUAAUUUGAAAAGUGGAGACGCGCUUUGCCUACCGAAAUCCCCGGCUCCACACGAUUCAGAUUGGUUCAAUAAUCUGGCGUUAACGGUGGGGUGGGGAGCGCCCAACACGGUUCCACUCAAAUCCUAUCUUCGUGGUUUCAAUGAUACAACGUGCAAUGAUUUUUAUAAAAGAUAUCCAGAUUUAAAAAACAACAAUUUUGCGCGCGGGAUUUGUAUGAUAAUACCAACCUGGAUCCUGGAAGUCCACUUCUUACGGUUUCCACCUAUGGACAGAUUCCAAUACACGUUCAGUAUGGAAUUUUAUCGCAAGAAGUCGGUAAUCAACAUUACAUUUAUACAAAUGUUAAUAAAUAUAUGGCUUGGAUUCUGAGGACUCUACGGGAGUUAGACUAAAAUGUCUAUUAGUUGGUAAAUUUAAUAUUUGGAAUAUGCUUAUUUAACAAAUUAUUUAAAUUAACAAAAUUUAUGAUUUACUUUUAAUUUAGCUAAAAUUGAUUAUUAACUUCUACAUUGUCUAUUAACUAUU